rnacentral:misc_RNA from 1 species
GAUGAAGAACGUAGCGAAAUGCGAUACGUAAUGUGAAUUGCAGAAUUCAGUGAAUCAUCGAAUCUUUGAACGCAUAUUGCGCUCUCUGGUAUUCCGGAGAGCAUGCUUGUUUGAGUAUCAGUAAACACCUCAACUCCCUUUUCUUUUUUGAAAUUGGAGCUGGACUUGAGUGAUCCCAACGCUUUCUUCCAAGAAAGUGGCGGGUUGCUUGAAAUGCAGGUGCAGCUGAACUUUUCUCUGAGCUAUAAGCAUAUCUAUUUAGUCUGCCUAAAAAACAGAUUAUUACCUUUGCUGCAGCUAACAUAAAGGAGACUAGUUCUUGUGCUGACUGAUGCAGGAUUCACAGAGACAGCUUCGGCUGACUUUGUAAACUCGAUCUCAAAUCAAGUAAGUCUACCCGCUGAACUUAAGCAUAUCAAUAAGCGGAGGA